GUGGGAGGGGGCUUGCUCCCGAUGGCGGUGGUUCAGUCACUUAUUCAUCAACUGACCCACUGCUAUCGGGAGCAAGCCCCCUCCCAC
rnacentral:misc_RNA from 1 species